AUUGAACGCUGGCGGCAUGCCUUACACAUGCAAGUCAAACGGUAACGGGUCCUUCGGGAUGCCGACGAGUGGCGAACGGGUGAGUAAUAUAUCGGAACGUGCCCAGUAGUGGGGGAUAACUGCUCGAAAGAGCAGCUAAUACCGCAUCCGACCUGAGGGUGAAAGGGGGGGAUCGCAAGACCUCUCGCUAUUGGAGCGGCCGAUAUCAGAUUAGCUAGUUGGUGGGGUAAAGGCCUACCAAGGCAACGAUCUGUAGUUGGUCUGAGAGGACGACCAGCCACACUGAGACUGAGACACGGCCCAGACUCCUACGGGAGGCAGCAGUGGGGAAUUUUGGACAAUGGGCGCAAGCCUGAUCCAGCAAUGCCGCGUGCAGGAAGAAGGCCUUCGGGUUGUAAACUGCUUUUGUCAGGGAAGAAAUCUUCUGGGCUAAUACCCCGGGAGGAUGACGGUACCUGAAGAAUAAGCACCGGCUAACUACGUGCCAGCCGCCGCAGUAA
rnacentral:rRNA from 1 species